rnacentral:lncRNA from 1 species
CCGGUGACUCAGUGGUUGACUCAAAGGCUAGAGGGUGGUUUGGGGGUGGAGGCAGAGGUCCAGUGAGCUGGGCUCCACCCUUUCUCUCCCUGCAGUCCCAACUCCAUUUUUAUCUGUGCUAUAUGUUGGAGUCUAGCCAAGAUGUCAUUUGAACAAAGAUUCUGAAAGAUCAAAGAAAAAAGUUUGAAAACCACCAGGACAAUGCUUUCAGGGGACUUUAUCCAAAAGACUGCAACAAUGUAAAGAGAUACGAUUGCUUUUAUUACUGUGAUAUGUUUAAAGUAUUAUAAAUUUUUUAAGAGCUUUGUAAGUGACAGAAGUGAAGACAUGCUCAUUUUAAUGUUACCAGUCAACUCUGAGAAGACUAAAGGUCAAGGGACAAUGAAAAUGUGACCCUUACCAACGACAGAAACUCCCAGGAAGCCACAAUUAACUCAAGACCACCAGGAUAUUUGGGGAAGUUUAUCCUUCUGGAAACCAGAAUUUCUGAUUUGUGGAAAAUUCUAUAGAUAUUCUCUGCCAGACUCCAGCCUAUUUGUGUGAGACAUCUGGGGAGGCUCCCCUUUUUUUCACCAUUUGAGGACUGAAAGUAAAUUUAGCUUCCUCAGCAGAAAGAAAAGAAGCUGUUUUGGAGGUUGGGAAGAGCUUUAGAAAAUGCGGCAUCACGUCUGUUGCCCCAUUUGAAGAAAGCAGCUCUGGAAAAGGCCUAGGACAUUAGUUGCUACAAAGUUCUAGAUCAUUCUGUGUGGUAAAGAAGUGCCUUUCACCUCCCACUGUGAUUCUGAGGCCUCCCCAGCCAUGUGGAACUAUCAGGUCUGUGUUGGUAAAUUAGACACCGUGUGGCCUUUCAACAUCCAGGAGCAAGAUGGCAGGAGAAUCAUGCCAACAACUGAGCCAAAGGUAAGAAGCCAAUAUGAUAUGCAUUUGAUUCUGUUACGGAAAUCCACAUAAAAGAAGGCUGCCCAAGUAUAAAACCAACACAGAAGAAAGCAGAGGUAAGAGAUGGAAAAAGAAAUGAGUGAACCAGUGACAGCAAGAGACUGAAGAACAUCAUUUGAUUGCCUGGAAUCAGCUAAGCCUGAAGAGAAGCCUAACCCUAAGCUUUUCAGUUACCCAAGCCAUCAAAUUCCCAUCCCCAUUUUUUUGGUUCUUAAGCAGCUUGAACCAUAGUUGUCUCACUUGCAUGCAAGAGAUCCCUGAAGAUACAUGCAGUUCCUCAGGUGAAGAUUGCCAUCAGUUAACAGAUCCUGGCACCCAUGGACCCUGGGACAGUCAUUCUGGUAGCAUCCUCUGGUAGAGAAUAACAUAGUCAAAUCUGACAGUCAGAGAGUAUCUGCCAGCCUCUGCUUAGAUAUAGCCCACUGAAAGGGAGAGAUGAUUAAUUUAGCCUUGAUUUCAAAACCUUGUCUUGUAUAUUCCAUUCAGCACUUUUUAUCUUCCUGUAUUCCCCUGGUUCCUCUCUAGCUGAAUAAAGAACAAUUUUUAAAGCAAACAUCUUCACUGUGUAUCUAGCAAAGCUUUCUGCUUCAUUGGAAUAUGUGAUUUAUUUAAAAAAUUAAAUUUCCCAUGAGACGCAAUAAUUUAAAUUAAGAGAAAAGCUUGUCUUUCUUAAACUUCAGUUUCUACAUACAAAUUGAUGUUUUAUAGAUUCCAGAAACUUUCACUGUUAUGAAGAUGGCUCUCAGUUUUCCUGCUGGAUUCAGAUUCUCUUCAUGACUUAAAACAACAUGAGGAGGAUGAGUCACAACUGUAAGCUGGUGAAAUGCAGAAAGAACCACCUAGGAAUUCAAAUGUCAGCUUAAGAAAGACAGAAUGGCUUAAAAAUCAAAGAUGAGAUGAAGUGGACUGGGGGUCUCGGGAACACCAAGUCACAAAAUCAGCUUACAGUCAGAGGGAACUUGCAAAUGAUCUGAUUCAAGAUACAAAGAAAGGUUUUAGUUCUUGAGGACUUUUUCCAGAUAAAUAUUUGAGCCAAAGCACAAUAUAAGAAAAAGAUGCAAGUGGAACAGCUCCUUCAAGCAGUGGGGGAUGUUAAGGAAAAGCAGGGAAAAUCAGCUGAGAAUCCUCCGUCCCACCCCCAAGACUCCUGCAACCUAGCUGAGAGCCACAGAACUGGUCCUCUCUCUCCGGCUGUUCUCCAACAUCCCAGAGCCUUAGGUGGGGCUACACUAAGAGGAAGUCCUCCAAGGAAACUCUCAGGAUUAGACCAGUCUUUUUCUGCUAGUGGUCUUUGAUAAGCCUACAUGGUAAAGAGUGGGAUUCACUGACUUAUCUGUAGUAGAUAUUAUUAAAUAUGUCUCAAAGCAUCUCCCCCACCUUCUCACACCCACCCAUUAGAACAGGAUGUUAUCUACAGGCUGAUACCUCCCCACUCCCUCCACCUCCCUUCUAAUACAUGGCACCAAGACACUGCCUAGGACCUAACAAGUGAUUGGCCCCUCCUUCUCCAAGACAUUCCCCUCUUCCUUUUUCUCUUUUAAGCCCAGAGGGCCUGACCCUCUAACGCCUGUCCCAGACCACUCUCUCCCUCCAGGAGCCUGCCAAGUUGAACACAAAGUCCUACCACCCCUGCCCUCAACACAGACUUCUCCAAAACAAGUCCACAAACACCAUUCAGGAUGAUUCCUGCUAAGACCCACAGGGUGGGAGUGAUAAAAUUUCCAGUAACAUCUACCAUGAUAUUACUUACAAUCCUAAAAGAGGAAAUGUUCUGUAUUACAUAAAACAUGUCCAAGGUCCUCCUACAAGUACGAGUGAAUCCGUGCCUGGUUCUUCUUUGUCUUCGGAUCCUGCCACCUCAUCCCUGUCGUCAUCUGUCUAAGUUUUGCUUUAGAAGCCACCCUCGGUCAAACCUUCACUCUCUUACACAAUGAGCUGGGCAUCCUCAGUUUCCCCUUCAUGCUAAAAGUAAGCCCCAUGUUUUGUGCAUGUGCCCACACCAUUUCCUCAAGUUCUUGCUCCUAAAGGUAACAGGGCCUGGGUAAGGCACUUCCUGCAGAGAUCAAAGGAGACUCGUUCACACCCAGGAGGAGGAAUAUUCUUCCUGUUCUACCCCAUUUAACCCUGUCCCCUCAACCCAGAGGUGUCCUCACUGUCCAGCAAGUGCUUCAGGCCUGCAGUUCUGCUGUUACCCUAUUUUGAAUCUCAUAGGUGUGGAAGCAUGUGUUGGCGGGGAGGGGCAGGAAGGUUUGUCCGCCAGGAAGAAGAAACGAGUGUGUCGGUAUGUGUGUGUGAGCGCCGCAAUGACAGUGCUGCCACCGCUGCUGCUGCAUGUGCUGGGUCUUUGAAUGUGGCAUCUGUCGGGCUCAGUGAGGAUGACAGAUGUCUCUCUGCUUUAUGAACAAACAACACAGGCCUGUGGGGUGACAAAAACAGCCUCAGCCCAACCAGAGCGGAGAGGUGCAGUUCUCUGGGAAUAAUCAGAAGACAGCAGCGUAGGAGUCCAGAGUCUACCACACACCUGCUCCCCUAAAAAAGCAUGUUCUCAUUAUGAAACCUUAGAAGGCAGCUCCCACGCCA